rnacentral:rRNA from 1 species
UUGAACGCUGGCGGCAGGCCUAACCCAUGCAAGUCGAAUGGUAACAGGAAACAGCUUGCUGUUUCGCUGACGAGUGGCGGACGGGUGAGUAAUGUCUGGGAAACUGCCUGAUGGAGGGGGAUAACUACUGGAAACGGUAGCUAAUACCGCAUAACGUCGCAAGACCAAAGAGGGGGACCUUCGGGCCUCUUGCCAUCAGAUGUGCCCAGAUGGGAUUAGCUAGUAGGUGGGGUAACGGCUCACCUAGGCGACGAUCCCUAGCUGGUCUGAGAGGAUGACCAGCCACACUGGAACUGAGACACGGUCCAGACUCCUACGGGAGGCAGCAGUGGGGAAUAUUGCACAAAGGGCGCAAGCCUGAUGCAGCCAUGCCGCGUGUAUGAAGAAGGCCUUCGGGUUGUAAAGUACUUUCAGCGGGGGGGAAGGGAGUAAAGUUAAUACCUUUGCUCAUUGACGUUACCCGCAGAAGAAGCACCGGCUAACUCCGUG